AGUGAACGCUGGCGGUAUGCCUAACACAUGCAAGUCGAACGGCAGCACAGUAAGAGCUUGCUCUUACGGGUGGCGAGUGGCGGACGGGUGAGGAAUACAUCGGAACCUACUUUUUCGUGGGGGAUAACGUAGGGAAACUUACGCUAAUACCGCAUACGACCUACGGGUGAAAGCAGGGGAUCUUCGGACUUUGCGCGAUUGAAUGAGCCGAUGUCGGAUUAGCUAGUUGGCGGGGUAAAGGCCCACCAAGGCGACGAUCCGAAGCUGGUCUGAGAGGAUGAUGAGCCACACUGGAACUGGGACACGGUCCAGACUCCUACGGGAGGCAGCAGUGGGGAAUAUUGGACAAUGGGCGCAAGCCUGAUCAAGCCAUACCGCGUGGGUGAGGAAGGCCUUCGGGUUGUAAAGCCCUUUUGUAGGGAAAGAAAAGCAGCAGGUUAAUACCCCGCUGUUCUGACGGUACCCAAAGAAUAAGCACCGGCUAACUUCGUG
rnacentral:rRNA from 1 species